UACGAAGGGGGCUAGCGUUGUUCGGAUUUACUGGGCGUAAAGCGCACGUAGGCGGUUUGUUAAGUCAGGGGUGAAAUCCCAGAGCUCAACUCUGGAACUGCCUCUGAUACUGGCAGCUAGAGUCCGGAAGAGGUAAGUGGAACUCCUAGUGUAGAGGUGGAAUUCGUAGAUAUUAGGAAGAACACCAGUGGCGAAGGCGGCUUACUGGUCCGGAACUGGACGCUGAAGGUGCGAAAGCCGUGGGGAGCAAACAGG
rnacentral:rRNA from 1 species